UGCUAUAUUUAUUUCGGGUUAUUUGCAGGGAGCUGCUGUAACCUUGGCUGAGUUAGGAGAAUAUACCUGAGUGGUCUCUUUGCUUGAGAACUUGACAAAGGAGAAGCCAAGUGACCCUGAUGUUUUUCGUUUGCUUGGAGAAGUUAAGUAUAAACUAAAGGAUUAUGAGGGAAGCGCUAAUGCAUAUGAAAGUGCUGCAAAGGUGUCUAAGUAUCUCAGUUUUGAAGUUCUACGAGGCCGAGCAAAUGCACUACUUGCUGCUAAGAAACCAGAUGAGGUUUGUUCUCACAUUAGUGGAUCACAUUGCUUUUAC